AACCUCCGCAAUGUGAGAAAUCGCGACGGGGGGAUCCCAAGUGCCAUUCUUAACGGGAUGGCUUUUCAUUAGUGUAAAGAGCUUUUGGAAUAAGGGCUGGGCAAGACCGGUGCCAGCCGCCGCGGUAACACCGGCAGCUCUAGUGGUAGCAGUUUUUAUUGGGCCUAAAGCGUCCGUAGCCGGUUUAAUAAGUCUCUGGUGAAAUCCUGUAGCUUAACUGUGGGAAUUGCUGGAGAUACUAUUAGACUUGAGACCGGGAGAGGUUAGAGGUACUCCCAGGGUAGAGGUGAAAUUCUGUAAUCCUGGGAGGACCGCCUGUUGCGAAGGCGUCUAACUGGAACGGUUCUGACGGUGAGGGACGAAAGUUAGGGGCGCGAACCGGAUUAGAUACCCGGGUAGUCCUAACUGUAAACGAUGCGGACUUGGUGUUGGGGUGGCUUUGAGCUGCUCCAGCGCCGAAGGGAAGCUGUUAAGUCCGCCGCCUGGAAGUACGGUCGCAAGACUGAAACUUAAAGGAAGU
rnacentral:rRNA from 1 species